CAGCAGCCGCGGUAAUACAGAGGGUGCGAGCGUUAAUCGGAUUUACUGGGCGUAAAGCGUGCGUAGGCGGCUUCUUAAGUCGGAUGUGAAAUCCCUGAGCUUAACUUAGGAAUUGCAUUCGAUACUGGGAAGCUAGAGUAUGGGAGAGGAUGGUAGAAUUCCAAGUGUAGCGGUGAAAUGCGUAGAGAUCUGGAGGAAUACCGAUGGCGAAGGCAGCCAUCUGGCCUAAUACUGACGCUGAGGUACGAAAGCAUGGGGAGCAAACAGGAUUAGAUACCCCAGUAGUCCCUGUCUCUUAUAC
rnacentral:rRNA from 1 species